CUGGCGGCGUGCCAUGCACAUGCAAUCCGAACGAUGAAGAGCAGCUUGCUGCUCGGAUUAGUGGCAGCACGGGUGAGUAAUGCAUAGAUAAUGUGCCCCUUAGUUCGGGAUAGCCACUGGAAACAGGUGAUUAAUACCGGAUACUCCUUCUUGACUCAAGGUAAGUCGGGAAAGUUUUUCGCUAAGGGAUCAGUCUAUGUCCUAUCAGCUAGUUGGUGAGGUAAUGGCUCACCAAGGCUAUGACAGGUAUCUGGUUUGAGAGGAUGAUCAGACACACUGGAACUGAGACACGGUCCAGACUCCUACGGGAGGCAGCAGUGAGGAAUAUUGCACAAUGGAGGAAACUCUGAUGCAGCAACGCCGCGUGGAGGAUGACGCAUUUCGGUGUGUAAACUCCUUUUAUUAGGGAAGAUAAUGAGGGUACCUAAUGAAUAAGCACCGGCUAACUCCGUGCCAGCAGCCGCGGUAAUACGGAGGGUGCAAGCGUUACUCGGAAUCACUGGGCGUAAAGGGUGCGUAAGCUGGCUUUUAAGUCAGGUGUGAAAUCCAUGGCUCAACCAUUGAACUGCACUUGAAACUGAAAGCCUAAAGUUCAAGAGGGGAAAUGGAAUAAGGGGGGA
rnacentral:rRNA from 1 species